AGCGUACACGGUGGAUGCCCUGGCAGUCAGAGGCGAUGAAGGACGUGCUAAUCUGCGAUAAGCGUCGGUGAGGUGAUAUGAACCGUUAUAACCGGCGAUUUCCGAAUGGGGAAACCCAGUGUGUUUCGACACACUAUCAUUAACUGAAUCCAUAGGUUAAUGAGGCGAACCGGGGGAACUGAAACAUCUAAGUACCCCGAGGAAAAGAAAUCAACCGAGAUUCCCCCAGUAGCGGCGAGCGAACGGGGAGGAGCCCAGAGCCUGAAUCAGUGUGUGUGUUAGUGGAAGUGUCUGGAAAGGCGCGCGAUACAGGGUGACAGCCCCGUACACAAAAAUGCACAUGCUGUGAGCUCGAUGAGUAGGGCGGGACACGUGGUAUCCUGUCUGAAUAUGGGGGGACCAUCCUCCAAGGCUAAAUACUCCUGACUGACCGAUAGUGAACCAGUACCGUGAGGGAAAGGCGAAAAGAACCCCGGCGAGGGGAGUGAAAAAGAACCUGAAACCGUGUACGUACAAGCAGUGGGAGCCUCUUAAUGGGGUGACUGCGUACCUUUUGUAUAAUGGGUCAGCGACUUAUAUUCUGUAGCAAGGUUAACCGAAUAGGGGAGCCGAAGGGAAACCGAGUCUUAACUGGGCGUUAAGUUGCAGGGUAUAGACCCGAAACCCGGUGAUCUAGCCAUGGGCAGGUUGAAGGUUGGGUAACACUAACUGGAGGACCGAACCGACUAAUGUUGAAAAAUUAGCGGAUGACUUGUGGCUGGGGGUGAAAGGCCAAUCAAACCGGGAGAUAGCUGGUUCUCCCCGAAAGCUAUUUAGGUAGCGCCUCGUGAAUUCAUCUCCGGGGGUAGAGCACUGUUUCGGCAAGGGGGUCAUCCCGACUUACCAACCCGAUGCAAACUGCGAAUACCGGAGAAUGUUAUCACGGGAGACACACGGCGGGUGCUAACGUCCGUCGUGAAGAGGGAAACAACCCAGACCGCCAGCUAAGGUCCCAAAGUCAUGGUUAAGUGGGAAACGAUGUGGGAAGGCCCAGACAGCCAGGAUGUUGGCUUAGAAGCAGCCAUCAUUUAAAGAAAGCGUAAUAGCUCACUGGUCGAGUCGGCCUGCGCGGAAGAUGUAACGGGGCUAAACCAUGCACCGAAGCUGCGGCAGCGACACUGUGUGUUGUUGGGUAGGGGAGCGUUCUGUAAGCCUGCGAAGGUGUGCUGUGAGGCAUGCUGGAGGUAUCAGAAGUGCGAAUGCUGACAUAAGUAACGAUAAAGCGGGUGAAAAGCCCGCUCGCCGGAAGACCAAGGGUUCCUGUCCAACGUUAAUCGGGGCAGGGUGAGUCGACCCCUAAGGCGAGGCCGAAAGGCGUAGUCGAUGGGAAACAGGUUAAUAUUCCUGUACUUGGUGUUACUGCGAAGGGGGGACGGAGAAGGCUAUGUUGGCCGGGCGACGGUUGUCCCGGUUUAAGCGUGUAGGCUGGUUUUCCAGGCAAAUCCGGAAAACCAAGGCUGAGGCGUGAUGACGAGGCACUACGGUGCUGAAGCGACAAAUGCCCUGCUUCCAGGAAAAGCCUCUAAGCAUCAGGUAACAUCAAAUCGUACCCCAAACCGACACAGGUGGUCAGGUAGAGAAUACCAAGGCGCUUGAGAGAACUCGGGUGAAGGAACUAGGCAAAAUGGUGCCGUAACUUCGGGAGAAGGCACGCUGAUAUGUAGGUGAAGCGACUUGCUCGUGGAGCUGAAAUCAGUCGAAGAUACCAGCUGGCUGCAACUGUUUAUUAAAAACACAGCACUGUGCAAACACGAAAGUGGACGUAUACGGUGUGACGCCUGCCCGGUGCCGGAAGGUUAAUUGAUGGGGUUAGCGGCAACGCGAAGCUCUUGAUCGAAGCCCCGGUAAACGGCGGCCGUAACUAUAACGGUCCUAAGGUAGCGAAAUUCCUUGUCGGGUAAGUUCCGACCUGCACGAAUGGCGUAAUGAUGGCCAGGCUGUCUCCACCCGAGACUCAGUGAAAUUGAACUCGCUGUGAAGAUGCAGUGUACCCGCGGCAAGACGGAAAGACCCCGUGAACCUUUACUAUAGCUUGACACUGAACAUUGAGCCUUGAUGUGUAGGAUAGGUGGGAGGCUUUGAAGUGUGGACGCCAGUCUGCAUGGAGCCGACCUUGAAAUACCACCCUUUAAUGUUUGAUGUUCUAACGUUGGCCCCUAAUCGGGGUUGCGGACAGUGUCUGGUGGGUAGUUUGACUGGGGCGGUCUCCUCCUAAAGAGUAACGGAGGAGCACGAAGGUUGGCUAAUCCUGGUCGGACAUCAGGAGGUUAGUGCAAUKGCAUAAGCCAGCUUGACUGCGAGCGUGACGGCGCGAGCAGGUGCGAAAGCAGGUCAUAGUGAUCCGGUGGUUCUGAAUGGAAGGGCCAUCGCUCAACGGAUAAAAGGUACUCCGGGGAUAACAGGCUGAUACCGCCCAAGAGUUCAUAUCGACGGCGGUGUUUGGCACCUCGAUGUCGGCUCAUCACAUCCUGGGGCUGAAGUAGGUCCCAAGGGUAUGGCUGUUCGCCAUUUAAAGUGGUACGCGAGCUGGGUUUAGAACGUCGUGAGACAGUUCGGUCCCUAUCUGCCGUGGGCGCUGGAGAACUGAGGGGGGCUGCUCCUAGUACGAGAGGACCGGAGUGGACGCAUCACUGGUGUUCGGGUUGUCAUGCCAAUGGCACUGCCCGGUAGCUAAAUGCGGAAGAGAUAAGUGCUGAAAGCAUCUAAGCACGAAACUUGCCCCGAGAUGAGUUCU
rnacentral:rRNA from 1 species